rnacentral:rRNA from 1 species
UACGGAGGGAGCUAGCGUUGUUCGGAAUUACUGGGCGUAAAGCGCACGUAGGCGGCUUUGUAAGUUAGAGGUGAAAGCCUGGGGCUCAACCCCAGAAUUGCCUUUAAGACUGCAUCGCUUGAAUCCAGGAGAGGUGAGUGGAAUUCCGAGUGUAGAGGUGAAAUUCGUAGAUAUUCGGAAGAACACCAGUGGCGAAGGCGGCUCACUGGCCCGAUACUGACGCUGAGGCACGAAAGCGUGGGGAGCAAACAGG